GCAUUGGUGGUUCAAUGGUAGAAUUCUCGCCUCCCACGCAGGAGACCCAGGUUCGAUUCCUGGCCAAUGCA
rfam:Pan troglodytes isolate Yerkes chimp pedigree #C0471 (Clint) chromosome 17, whole genome shotgun sequence.